rnacentral:sRNA from 1 species
GACUGCAGCCUGCGCCUGAAGGAAGGACAGCAUGGGGCGCAGGAGAGGGGCUACACCCCAGCCAAAGGAGUCGCUUCCAGGUACCCCAGCAAGGGAGAUUUGGGCCAAGUAUCCAGAAACUGCUGAUCCCCAAGGCCCAUCCACCAGCUCCAAGCCCCCGGCCCCAGCUCUGGGCACCCUUCAGCCUGCGCAUGCCUGGCGCCAUCCUGAGACCGGGAGCUGCUUGUCGCCGUCGGGAAGAGGCGGCAGUUGCGCGUCAUCACCACCAGGGGGCACCAGUACAGGUAUUGGGCCACAUGCACCCAGAAUGUGACUUCAUCACCCAGCUGA